UACGAAGGGGGCUAGCGUUGCUCGGAAUCACUGGGCGUAAAGCGCACGCAGGCGGCUUCUUAAGUCAGGGGUGAAAUCCUGGAGCUCAACUCCAGAACUGCCUUUGAUACUGAGGAGCUCGAGUCCGGGAGAGGUGAGUGGAACUCCGAGUGUAGAGGUGAAAUUCGUAGAUAUUCGGAAGAACACCAGUGGCGAAGGCGGCUCACUGGCCCGGUACUGACGCUGAGGUGCGAAAGCGUGGGGAGCAAACAGG
rnacentral:rRNA from 1 species